GACGAACGCUGGCGGCGUGCCUGACACAUGCAAGUCGGACGGUUCUUGUACCUUCAAGCUUGCUUGUUGGUGCAAGGAUAGUGGCGGACGGGUGAGUAACGCGUGAACAUCUACCCAUUGGAGGGGGACAACCCGUCGAAAGGCGGGCUAAUACCGCGUAAGCCGCGAGGUGAGAGGCUGCCUAUUGGUGGCCGCCGAUGGAUGGGUUCGCGUCCUAUCAGCUGGUUGGUGGGGUAACGGCCUACCAAGGCGAAGACGGGUAGCCGGUCUGAGAGGAUGGCCGGCCACACUGGAACUGAGACACGGUCCAGACUCCUACGGGAGGCAGCAGUGGGGAAUAUUGGGCAAGUGGGGGAACCCUGACCCAGCGACGCCGCGUGAGGGAUGAAGGUUUUCGGAUCGUAAACCUCUGUUGUACGGGAAGAAGGACUUGACGGUACCGUACGAGGAAGCCCCGGACAAACUACGUG
rnacentral:rRNA from 1 species